rnacentral:rRNA from 1 species
CCUACCGGAGGCAGCAGUGGGGAAUCCUACGCAAUGCAGCAACCCUGAUCCAGCACAACCGCGAAACCAAGAAGCCGCUACGCCGCAAAGCGCUUUAUCCGGAGAAUAGUAAAUCCUUUUCCCGCGAAGGUUGACGGUACCGGCAGAAGAAGCACACGCUAGCUGUG